GAUGAACGCUGGCGGCGUGCUUAACACAUGCAAGUCGAACGGAAAGGCCCAAGCUUGCUUGGGUACUCGAGUGGCGAACGGGUGAGUAACACGUGGGUGAUCUGCCCUGCACUUCGGGAUAAGCCUGGGAAACUGGGUCUAAUACCGGAUAGGACCACUUCUUGGAUGUUGUGGUGGAAAGUUUUCUCGGUGUGGGAUGAGCUCGCGGCCUAUCAGCUUGUUGGUGGGGUAAUGGCCUACCAAGGCGUCGACGGGUAGCCGGCCUGAGAGGGUGUACGGCCACAUUGGGACUGAGAUACGGCCCAGACUCCUACGGGAGGCAGCAGUGGGGAAUAUUGCACAAUGGGCGCAAGCCUGAUGCAGCGACGCCGCGUGGGGGAUGACGGCCUUCGGGUUGUAAACUCCUUUCGCUAGGGACGAAGCGUUUUUGUGACGGCACCUGGAGAAGAAGCACCGGCUAACUACGUG
rnacentral:rRNA from 1 species